rnacentral:tRNA from 3 species
GGGCCUAUAGCUCAGUUGGUUAGAGCGGUGGACUCAUAAUCCAUUGGUCACAGGUUCGAGUCCUGUUGGGCCCACCA